AUUGAACGCUGGCGGCAGGCUUAACACAUGCAAGUCGAACGAGGGGCGGACGGGUGAGUAAUGCGUGGGAAUCUGGCUUAUGGAGGGGGAUAACUACGGGAACCUGUAGCUAAUACCGCUUACCAUCGGAUGAGCCAAGAUGGGAUUAGGUAGUUGGUGGGGUAAAGGCUCACCAAGCCGACGAUCCCUAGCUGGUCUGAGGGGAUGACCAGCCACACUGGAACUGAGACACGGCCCAGACUCCUACGGGAGGCAGCAGUGGGGAAUAUUGCACAAUGGGGGCAACCCUGAUGCAGCCAUGCCGCGUGAAUGAAGAAGGCCUUCGGGUUGUAAAGUUCUUUCGGCGGGGAGGCGUUACUCACAGAAGAAGCACCGGCUAACUCCGUGCCAGCAGCCGCGGUAAUAC
rnacentral:rRNA from 1 species